rnacentral:misc_RNA from 1 species
AAAGUCGUAACAAGGUUUCCGUAGGUGAACCUGCGGAAGGAUCAUUACCAAAAGAGAAAAAAAACCAAACGAAAGGGACGGAACGGCUUUCGGGUCUUCCGUUCCUUUUGACACCUUGUGAACCGUAAAAACAAUUGUCCUUGGGGUUGUUUUGGUCGGGUACUUCCCCGGCCGGCGCCCCAAACUAUUAUAAACUACUUAACCAUUGAUUGAAACCUUUUUUUUUUGAUGUAAAUCGAAUAACAACUUUUAACGGUGGAUCUCUUGGCUCGU